rnacentral:lncRNA from 1 species
CAUGAAUCGAAUUGGAGAGUUGAAGGUAACUGAGUCGCUCUUAAUGCCAAGGAAUUGUACAGAAUAAUCUUGCACCAUGUGUUUACUAAAGGAGGCUGGUAGAUAUACAUCCUGCUCCAAACUGUCUACAUAGUUUGCCAGUGACUUUUCAGGAUGAAAAACUAAAAUGUUGGUGGACAGAAUCCAGAUCUUGUGGUUGAAAUUGUUAGUUGUCUUACAUUUUAGUACAAAAUUGUAUGAAUUUUGAAACUCUGCUCCUUUCCUUCUUAUUUCAGCUUCUACCAUACUAGUUCAGCUCUCUGUCCUCUCAAAUCCAGUUUACCGCAGCAGCCUUCCCUGUAGUCUUCCUGCCUUCUGGGACCCCACUGCAUUCUGUCCUUAGAGGGAAUUGCAUCAGAAGACUUUCAGGAACUCUUCCAACUCAAAUUCUGUGAAAUACUGCAUUAUUGCUGCCAGAUUAAUUUUAGAAAGAAAUGCUUUCAUUAUUUCUUCAGAAAGUUGAAGUUGCCUCUGAAACUUCUAGAGAAGCUUGGUAGCUUUGAGUGAUUGCCUUAAUCUCUUCACUAAACAAAAAGGGGUGCCUCAGGAUUGUCCUUUUGUGUGUUCAUAAUUACUCAAUGCCUUAAUACAGAGAUGCCUUCGGGGGAUAAUGUUCAUAGGACUCUGCAUUUUUUGACUAAAUGGUCCAGCCCUGCUAGUGCUUUUUGAAUUCUUUUUUGCUUCUUUUGGGUUUUAAAAAAUUCUCCCUCUUAAUUUUUAGAUCAACUGUGUGCCUAGCAGUGGGAUACUGAUCCUUUCUGAUUUACUCUUCCUAAUCUCCUGUGUAUUAAAAAGAAAACCAGAUAACCAAACUUGGUGAAAUUAUGUCCACAGUAAGAAUAAGCUGGCUCUGUGUGAGAAACUUAGGGGUUUACAGUGAGCACAGGCCUUAGUGCCUGGAUUUGGGACCUUCUGUUUCUGUGGUGUUUGG